rnacentral:miRNA from 1 species
AUGGGGAGGAAAUCCUCCCCAUAAAAAUUUCCCCAAGUUUGAUGGGGAGGAAAUCCUCCCCAU